GGGGAUGCCAGGCAUCGACAGAUGAGCCGGCCGCCUCGCGCGAUGAGAGCACCGUCGACUCUUUAAUCCGACGGAAACGCCAACUGCAAACACAGUAGCUAAGAGCUCGGUCCGUUCGCCGUAUUUUUCGGCGAAUAGCUUCGCUUUCGCGCUCGUCUAAACUAGUUUUAGUCCAGCACGGCGCUUCCUUAUCCGCGACUGCAGGGUAAGAGAGGUGAAAUAACCGCGGUCUCUAGGCAUGUUCCCUUCCCGGCUCAUGCUCGAAAGUUUCGGGAAUCGCAUCCUCUCUAUUUCGCUCGCUUUACGAAGAGAGAAUGUUAAACGCCGCAAGGCCCAAAGCGUCCUAUCAUCGUACAACGCGUCUCGGUCUAUCAUUUGCACGGCGGUUCGAUUCCGCCCAUCUCCACUA
rnacentral:tmRNA from 1 species